GCAACUCCGGAGUGUUGUCUGUAUUGUUCCACUGCUUGCAACACUUCGCUUGUGCUUUUUCUCUUCCAUCGGUCAGAACUUGCCAACUCAGCUCAUAGAGAUUCGAAGAUCACUAUUUGACCUUGUUGCUUAGUUCAACCACAAUAAUAAUCAAGACAACAAUUGGUUAGCAGGUGAGUUUCAUAUUCUUUACCCUCCUUCACCUUUCCUUGCUUUCAAUGAUGCCUUAAGCAUGUAUUGUCAGACUUUGGGGUAGCACCUAUCGUCGAAUGUUGAUAAAUAUAGUCAGAAUCGCCCUGAUGCCCAUGUCCAUCCCCUUUGGAUUUUGGUUUAGUUAUCCGAGGUAUGAGCUGAUGUCGGAGCCACAGGUUUGAAUAGUUUGAUAUUAGUUGCAGUUGUCCAGAGCCAUUUCCCGUGAUAUUCGAGGAAUCUUCAGCGUAACAACGGCCCGAUAUCGCUGUAAAAUCCGUUUUAUAGUCCACCAUUGAACAGUAAGUCGGUUAUACCAUUUGACCUAUCUCCCACUCCCUUUUUCGUGAUGUUACUCUUUUAAAUAUGCAUGGCUUUCAGAAAACCUGCAUGUAGAGAACUGGUUAGAGCCGUUCUGAUCUUUUUAUAUCCUUUACUUGUGUUUAUUAGGAGUAAGGCCAUAUGCUGACUGCGAAUGUCUAGGUUUAGCAAAGUAAGUCUGAAACACCUCAAUUCAAAUACUUUUAUUCCAGGUUUUUUUAUGUCUUCCAUGCAUGUCUUUGUACCCGUAUUGCACUCAGAUGCUGUAUUGCCUAGCA